CUGGUAAGAACAGCGGGGGUCCCGCACACACACACACACACCCCCCGGGGUGGGGGCGGUUGGGCCGGCUUUGCUCUGAUUUAGUUAAAAAGCCCGGCCUAUUGCUGGCCAUAAUUGGUGCUGUAACUAUGGGACGGGGCAUCGCUGCAGCUCGAUUUACGUCUCUCUCUCAGCACUGCUCCUGACCCAUUUUUUUUUUUCGAACCAAUGAAAGUGAAUUUGGUCCGUCUCUCGCAUGUUUCUGCCUUUACUUUUGAGGACUGGUUACCGAUUUGUUAGAAUUUAGCAGGGAAAGUGUAAACCUGCUGGCGGGAAGGCUCUGCGAAGAUGUUCUCCUCUGGCCUGUUCCCAUUCUGCAGCACACCAAGGACUCUAUGAGAUGGUUCUUGUCAAAAAUGCUGCCGCCCACCGUGAUGCUGCCCGCGAUCUGUGCCAUUCCCCAAGGACAGAGCGGAGAGAGCUUUGGUUUGGAGAGGUCCUGCUGCUGCUCCUCCACCAGCCUUCCUCCCAGGAACACAGGCUGUAACUCCUGGCAGCUCCCAGCAGCUGACAGGGCCACCAGAGCUCUUAGUAACUGCUCCAGUAUAAAGCAAAUAUUCUUUGAGCUCCUUUAAUCCAUCCACAAGACCGAUCCACUGCUUAUCAGCUGCAAGAGGCAAACCCCAUAAUUAUUGUCAUGUAGUGGGUGUUGCUUGUGGACAGUCUGUCUCCAAGGUGGUCAUUGCCAAGUGUCAUUUUCCAGCUCUUCUACAUAUGACGUGUGUGAUGAAGAGUGACCUGACCAUCCCUUUAGGUUUGCUGUUUGAGCAAAAAAUGGUGUAGAAAACACCACCUGAAGCGGUUAUUUUCACCAUAAAAGAGGCAUUUCUUAGAGCAGUUGUCUGUUAGAUCCUUCCUACAGACUGUGGUGUUGCUUCACCAGUACAACUGGCCUGGCAGGGUUCAAGAUCACUCUGUCUGGGUUUACCAUGGUUAUUAGUUGAACAUCAACACAUACUCUUACUGUCAAAGGCAGCCUUGAAGACAGAGUCUCUUGGACCCAGUAAUUUGAGUAGAAUUGAGGGUUGGAUAGUUACAUCCUUUAAAGGUCCAGCAGAUGUGCCUGUGUGGUUCUGGAGGAAAUUUUGCUCCACGAUGUUUGGGGUGGAUAUUCCCUUCAUAAACCAUUUGCACAUCUCUUUCAAGGAGAACGUGCACAUGCCCGAGUAUUUCAGGGCUGCUGAGUCCCAAGGUGAUGUGCGGGACGUGGGCAGCUCUGUGAAUUGGUGUACGGACUUGGAAGACAUGAAAAUCAGGUGGCCAUGCUUGGCUUUAAAAAGAUUUCACUGACAGAGUCUGAACGAAAUAGGUCUCUGGGGCUCCAAACAGCAGGCAUUGUCAGAUAUAAGGGAUUAAAAGGCUUUUUAAUGUGGCUUAGUAGUGUACAGAAGAUUGGCUUACUGGUAUGAGCUCGUCUUUCGUCACAUUGAUCUUUAUUUUGCAUUGUGCUUAGGACAACAGAAACUGGAGGCUGAAGUCUUCUUUCCCAAAUCAUCUGACAGGACUUGUCCCUCUCACAGCUUAUUAGAAUCUUUUUUCUGUGAAAGAGGAAUCGAUUUUUGCCAGUGUAGGCAGCAUUGAGUAAUAGCUGAAGAAUACCAAGUUGUGAUAAUUUUCUGAACGCUGUAUGAGGCCAGGUUGGUGAGAGGAAGUUACUAUACAGUGGGUUAUACACUUUAUAUUGCUUUCCUGUAUAGAUGUAUUGAUCUAACUUAAUAGGGAGCUGGCUGAUGAAGGAAUAAAAGGCAAUUCAGUGGUCCCCCUGUCAGCUGUAUGUGACCAAACCCAUGAGGUGGUAAUUGCAAGACGAUAGCUCCAAUUCCAAGGGACGCAGCUGGUUUGUCAGGCUGAGAACUAAAAAUCAGAGGAGGAUAAAGUUGGCAGAGACUGACAGAAGAAGUGAUUUAAACUUCUUUGCAGAAAAGGCUGGAAGACGCUGGGCCUUCCCCUCUGCAGCACUGGAUGGUAAGUUACACAGAAGGAAAAGGUGAGUGUGUUGACUGGUUUAUUGUUUGUAAAAUCUAUUUUGUCUUAAACGGUUUGGUGCGAAGUGUUGUGUGGUCAGUGCUCAGAGUCAUUGACUUCAUCAGAGACUGAAACGGCGAGGCCUGGGUCUGUCCCGGGUCUGGGGAGGUAACGGUGGUCAAUACACUGGGGAUGCAACCCAAGAGCUGGUCUGCACGGAGUGAAAAAAGACAGCUAGAGAUCUGGGGAAACAGUUAACUCGUCACUUGCAACAGCAAAACGCAAACACAAUCACAGUUUUUGUUUUUUUCUUAUUUGAAAAUUAUUUUGUUUAUAAAUAAGUGGCUUUUAUAAUAAUAGGGCCUUCACAGACAGGCUAAACCUUGGUGUUUUAAUGUGUGUGGGCUUUUUUAGGGUUUUUGUUUGUUUGCUUUUUAAAAUAUGCCAUAGUCACAUAGCAUCAAAGGUAAGAAGAGAUUUAUUACAUAGAUACCAGUAAUAUAAGUAUCUCAGUUUUGUCUAAAAUACUGGUUAGUUCCUGUUGCUCAAUUGAAGCAUAAUACAGUAAAAGUGGUUUUUAUUUUGUUGGCCUUUUAUUCACAAUUUAUUGUACUGUUGUUUUCACCACUUACCAUAAAUAAUCAAUUGGAUGUCCCCUGCUGUUACCAUGGAUAUUUAAUACAUUGACACAGAAAAAAGACAUUCUUAUGAAAAGGAAAAUGCAGCUACAUAACUCCUCUUGCAUGGCGUGGAAGGCUGUGUGGUAUUUUAUGUGGGCACGGCCAAUAAUGCCUUUCUGCUUCAUGUUCUUAUCUACCACCUACACAGAUGGCUGUCCAUCCCACCCCCUGCGCUUUAGGAGGCUGAUGUUGAGGAGAGCAUUAGGUGGGACAUGGCUCCUGGUGACCGUUCUCCCUCCCUGGAGCGGAUGAGAAGGUCCAGGUGCAGGGUUGUAGGACAGUUGGCUUAGAACUCAGAAGCGCUUCCUGGAGGAGUGGUAAAUGCUGUUGAUGAGAAUGGUCCAGCCUAAACAGGAAUCCAAGACCCUCCCUUCAGGCUCUUCAGUCUGUUGUUGGGGUUUGGGUUUUUUUUUGAGAUCAAAGGAGAACACAGUAUUUUGAACAAAAUGCGCAAGGGCCCACCCUUCCUGAAUUGCACUUUUGGUGGUGUCUUCUGUCCUGCAGCUGUAACACUCCUUAGAAGGGUUUGGGUUCUCCCUCUUCCCCCUUUUUUUUUUAAAAUAUAUGUCAUGAGAACAUUUUAAUAGACGUUUUCACAGGAGUUUCUGAUCCCACCCUUUUCUCAUUGUGCCUGGGUGUUCCAUGAGGAGAGCUGCUGAUCGUUACCAGCUCAAGUCUAGCACCUUUAAUUCAUCAGAACUUCGUGUAAUGUAUUACUUACAUUAGAUGUAGGUGCCAAAACUGACCUGUAAACCUAAAAUUAAAUUGGGACUACAAAAUUAAUUUCACUUAGAUGGUGGAAAUUAGACUAUAAAUGGAAUUCCUGUGGGAACUGUGUAAACCUUCUCUGACAUUGAUUUAAUGUAAUUCUUUUCUUAAUAGGGUAACCUUUAAAUUGCAGAACCAGUACACGGUUUGAACCAGCACAGAUCUGUAGCAAAUUUUGCAGUAAGGUUUUGUUCCAAGGUGUGUCAAAGGACAAGCUUCAAGACCCCUCUGCACUGCAUUUGCAAAGAAAAGUAAAAUGUGCUGAAUGAGAAUCCACUUUAAAAUGGAAAACUGCACACAAAAACCCCACCACCAGCAAGGACUUGAGACAGCUUUUGGGAGCUAAAUAAUACGCAUGUUCUUCCCCUAACUCCUAAGGAAUAAUGGUAUGGGAAGGGUAUUUUGCACAAAUACACUUCCAAAAAUGAAGGUUAAAUUAAAUAAAAUAGAGAGACUCCCAAACUUCAUUAACUGAAAUUUAGACCAUCCUGAAGCCUCUCCUAUUACAGCUUGAUCCAGCCCUACUCAAUAAUGAAAACAGUUUACAUGACCAGGGGAAGGUGAGUCUGCCUUUCUGAUGAGGCACAACUUUGUAAUUGAAAAUGCUACAAAUAAAAUUUGUGUGUUGCAGAAGUAAAAAUGACAGCCACAGCUUAAGACAUUCCCCGGAACGAUUAGAUGGGACUUGAAGCUACAAGAUCAACCCUCAAAACACCUUUACUUUUACGAUCUGUAGUGAAGGUAGCCAUCUAUUAUGGGGUAUGUUCUGAAUUGUAAUCAUAACAGUGUUAGCUGCUCGGCCUAUAAAAACUGUAAAGGAAUAUGAAGAUCUUUAAGCUAUAAAAAGCAUGUUGGUCUGAUUCUAUAGGUACUCUGAACAAAACACAGUGGGCUUCAAUAAAAAGG